UAAUUGAGUCUCGUCCGUCAACACAACGGAAAACAAUAAAAAAAAAGUAUCUAGUUCUUCAGUGUUGUUAUUUUGUGGUUUUUUUUUCUGCUGAAGGGGGGCUAAAGCCCAGCUUUGCCCCCCAUGGAUCCGCCCUUGAUCUAAGUAUCUUGAAGUAUAUUUAAGAAGAAGGCUCUGAGAAGAAGGGAUUAAAAGCCUGAGUAGUAUAAGUUUCAGACAGGUAAUGGACCCCUCUAAAAAGUGUCGUGGAUGCGAGGCUACAUGAAAAAAUCACAAUUUUUCUCGAUGGAAUUUGUGAUAUAUAUUUUUUUAAUUCGAGGUUACCCUUGCGUUCAAGACAAUAUUUAGAAGGGCUUAUUGCUUUUUACUUGGUACUACAAUAAUUGUUCAUGCUGCCCAAAGGGGCGUUUCCCAACCCCGUUUCUUUCAAGGGCUAUUGCUGGCUUUCACUUGACGUCAUUUCCUGACUCGUGCGGAAUGUUCAUCAGGUGAAUCACAAGUUUUCAAUAGAAUUCUUUCUGGCUGAAAGCACAUGGUGGUCAGUGUUUGACUACUAUGUGGAGCAGAUAAUAAGAUUUAAUAACUUUUAUUAGCUGAGUGAAAGCCAGCAACGUAUUGUUAUUAAUACAAACCAUUGUUCUAAAAAUCUGAAACACUGAGUUGAAAAACGGGGGAAAAGUAAAUACCUCAUGUAAGUAUUAAAGACUGAGUACUUAUAGUAUAUAUCAUUCCCUAGUCUAUUUUUUUCUUAUUUAGUAUAUAAAUAAGCGGAAAACCAGAGUCGCGCGACAAAUUUCGACCGCACUGACCCUGCCAAAAGAGCCAAUCAGAACGCAAGAAAUUAUAACAAUUAAUUUCGAUGAUUCUACACACAAUACAAACUGAUACGCAAACAUAAUAUUUGCAGAGUUCAGAAUGCCUUUUUGACCUCUAUAUUUAAAAAUGAACCUUAAUAUCGGAUUUUAACAAAUAAUUUCGAGGUCUCUACACAUAAUGGUAGUACUGAUUUCAUUAUGCCUAUUGCAUAUUGACGUCCACAUUUAACAAACGAUUUCGAAAUAUAACGACUGAUAGGUUUGGAUGUCAUCUGUGGAAAAGCACUCGUACAUGCAGCCACUAGGUCACUAAACAAUGUUUUCUUCUCAUACACUUCUAGAAAGUCGACUCGAGGGCUUUGAUCAACUAAUGACGUUGCAUCGUUGACGUCAUUCUUUGGUAUUCAAUAGCCCUUCUAUAUUUUAGCCUUUGAUAUUACUUGUCUUUGAACUGAACUAGCAGCAUUCUCGUAUAUGGUCUGCGAAAAUAGAUUGAGAUGAAAGGGGUUAGUUUAUAAGUGGUCAUAUUGAUCGGUAUUUCUCUCACAUCUACUGCUUGUAAAGGAAAGCACCAAAAAAGAAUGCCGGUAGUCCGUUGACCACACAUGUUCUGGACACUUCUGCCGGGAUUCCCGCGAGACAAUUACCAAUCAAAGUCUUUAUGAAGUGGUACAAAAUGGCACCAGUACAUGGAAACCUCUUGCUUCUAAGUCGUUUUCAUUAUCAAUGACCCUUCUCAGCACUAUCAUGUACCACUACUUCUGAGCCCAUUUGGGUAUUCCACUUACCGAGGAAGCUAGGCGAUAUAUAGAGCGAUCGAUGUCGUGGAGUCAUACAUGACAAUACUAUCAUGAUAUGUUGGAACAGUUUUUCUUGACUCUCUUUUUUUUAUUGACUCUCUUAAAUUAUGAUUUUAGCAAAUUAAAAUGUAUGGAAAUACAUUCUUUUUUUGUGGAU